GUAAGGAAUAUUGGUCAAUGGACGAAAGUCUGAACCAGCCAUUCCGCGUGCAGGAAGAAGAUUCUAUGGAUUGUAAACUGCUUUUAGCAGAGAAGAAACGCCUUCAUUGAUGAGGGUUUGACGGUAUCUGCGGAAUAAGCACCGGCUAACUCCGUGCCAGCAGCCGCGGUAAUACGGGGGGUGCAAGCGUUAUCCGGAAUCACUGGGUUUAAAGGGUGCGUAGGCGGGAAAUUAAGUCAGUGGUGAAAGUCUGUUGCUUAACGAUAGAAUUGCCGUUGAUACUGAUUUUCUUGAAUUGGGUUGAGGUUAGCGGAAUGUGACAUGUAGCGGUGAAAUGCAUAGAUAUGUCAUGGAACACCAAUUGCGAAGGCAGCUAGCUGGGCCUUGAUUGACGCUGAGGCACGAAAGCGUGGGUAGCGAACAGGAUUAGAAACCCCGGUAGUCC
rnacentral:rRNA from 1 species